GACGAACGCUGGCGGCGUGCUUAACACAUGCAAGUCGAACGGAAAGGCCCUGCUUUUGUGGGGUGCUCGAGUGGCGAACGGGUGAGUAACACGUGAGUAACCUGCCCUUGUCUUUGGGAUAACUUCAGGAAACUGGGGCUAAUACCGGAUAGGAGCUCCUGCUGCAUGGUGGGGGAUGGAAAGUUUCGGCGGUUGGGGAUGGACUCGCGGCUUAUCAGCUUGUUGGUGGGGUAGUGGCUUACAAAGGGUUUGACGGGUAGCCGGCCUGAGAGGGUGACCGGCCACAUUGGGACUGAGAUACGGCCCAGACGGCUACGGGAGGCAGCAGGGGGGAAUAUUGCACAAUGGGCGGAAGCCUGAUGCAGCAACGCCGCGUGCGGGAUGACGGCCUUCGGGUUGUAAACCGCUUUCGCCUGUGACGAAGCGUGAGUGACGGUAAUGGGUAAAGAAGCACCGGCUAACUACGUG
rnacentral:rRNA from 1 species